UGGGGAAUUUUGGACAAUGGGGGCAACCCUGAUCCAGCAAUGCCGCGUGUGUGAAGAAGGCCUUCGGGUUGUAAAGCACUUUUGUCCGGGAAGAAAUCGCACCUGAUAAUACCGGGUGUGGAUGACGGUACCGGAAGAAUAAGGACCGGCUAACUACGUGCCAGCAGCCGCGGUAAUACGUAGGGUCCAAGCGUUAAUCGGAAUUACUGGGCGUAAAGCGUGCGCAGGCGGUUGUGCAAGACCGAUGUGAAAUCCCCGGGCUUAACCUGGGAAUUGCAUUGGUGACUGCACGGCUAGAGUGUGUCAGAGUGGGGUAGAAUUCCACGUGUAACAGUGAAAUGCGUAGAGAUGUGGAGGAAUACCGAUGGCGAAGGCAGCCCCCUGGGAUAACACUGACGCUCAUGCACGAAAGCGUGGGGAGCAAACAGG
rnacentral:rRNA from 1 species